CCGACUUCCCUCUGGCCAGGCUGGGGCCGCCGUCGCGGCCGCUGACUUCCCUGUGGCCGCGCCGGGUUGGCCGUGGCUGCAGCCACCGCCGCAGCCACCGCCGCAGCCGCCGCCGCCUCCGCCGACUUCUCGAGGGCAGCCGCUGCCUUCUCUCUGGCCUGGCCGGGCCGGGCGGGCUUCCGUAGGGGCACACACGCUGACAGGCACUCGCCUCAAGGCUGAAGCACCACACCCUCUUAAAGGGGCCGCAGCUCAGCCUGACUAGAAUAGCUUUGGGUUGGAUGAGAACAAGUUUUAGGUUAGCUAAUCAGACCAUAGAAAUAAAGCCCAAUUAGAGUAGACCUUGAAGUUUGCUCUCAUCCAAUCUGAACAUGUAGUCUAGGAACCCUGUAUAUAAAGGAUGGCAAGCGGGAGUCUUGCCAUUUCAGACGUGGGGCCCACCUGCUCUGACCUGGCUUCGAGGAGAAGUGGGAGUAGCCAGCCACCGCCCAUGCUGGAGGCUAGAGUCUGCCAUGUCUGCUCGGCUCGCCUCGCUGUUGCAGUUGUUGGCACUGAGGGAGACUACAGCGCAGCUAGAAAGCUUCUUAAACAUGCUAAGUUCACUCCUAUUGACAACUGAAUGCAAUGUGGGAUCCUGGAUUAGAUCUUAGCCCAGAAUAGGUCUUCAGUGGAAGAACUGGCAAAAUUUGAAUAAGGUCUCUGGUUUCGUGAAUGGUAGUGUAUUGAUGUUCAUUUCCUGCUUUUGAUCAUUGGAGUGAUAGUGAGAUGUUAACAUUUGGGAAAACACAAAGAAAGGCAAAUGGACAUCUCUACUAUUUUUGUAACUUUUGUAAGUUAAAAUUGUUUCAAAAUGAGUUAAAAAUGAAAAGGAAGUUUUCUCUUUCAGCUGGGAAAAUGGCAAUGAAUUAAUAAGAAAUUAACGGUGAAGUGAUGACUCAAAUUCUACAUUGCUCCGAAAGCAAGUAAGAAAAUCAGUGGUUAUAGAGAAGUUCUUACAUGAAGUAAUAAAAAUAAAAAUUAUUA
rnacentral:lncRNA from 1 species